rnacentral:rRNA from 1 species
UACGUAGGUGGCAAGCGUUAUCCGGAAUUAUUGGGCGUAAAGAGCGCGCAGGUGGUUAAUUAAGUCUGAUGUGAAAGCCCACGGCUUAACCGUGGAGGGUCAUUGGAAACUGGUUGACUUGAGUGCAGAAGAGGGAAGUGGAAUUCCAUGUGUAGCGGUGAAAUGCGUAGAGAUAUGGAGGAACACCAGUGGCGAAGGCGGCUUCCUGGUCUGCAACUGCCACUGAGGCGCGAAAGCGUGGGGAGCAAACAGG